AGUAUAUACCGGGCUCUGCGCUGGGAAAACCCGAAGAACCGGACAGCUUAGGUGCCACUCAUCAUGGAGCGUCCGCGGGACUUUCUGUUCGCUUGAAGGCUUCCUCCUUUUCAGGACUGUGCUUGAACUUAGAACUUUUCAAUGCUCAGAACACGAUCCAGCAUGAUGAAUUGUUUCUGUGAAGGAGGCAGCUAGAAAGGAACAUUGUCUUCAUUCUCCAGAUAAGAGAACUGAAGGAAGAUAAUUCAGGUGGAAACUUACCCACAGAAACAAAAGGAGUCUUUGAUCGUCACUACAUCUCAGCCUUUCAGGAGCCAUUUGAGCUUGAGGUCAAGAAGGAAGAGCUAAUCCUUUUGUCUUCUGACUUGGUUGGAAUAAUCAUCUAUUACUACGUAACUGAGUACCCCAAAACCUUGUGGCUUAAGGAAGAAUAAAUGUUUGUUAUUUCCGGCAGUUUCUGUGUGUUCG